UGCAGAAUUCAGUGAAUCAUCGAAUCUUUGAACGCACCUUGCGCCCCUUGGUAUUCCGAGGGGCACACCUGUUUGAGUGUCGUGAAUCUCUCAACYUCCUCAUC
rnacentral:rRNA from 1 species